ACAGGUGAAGAACUAAUGUUGACGGAAGUUAAGCAACCUUUCCCAAAGUCUCAUAGUGGAAUGUGCUGGGGCCACAGGCAGGUCAGGCCAGGCUUUCUGGGGAGUGAAUGCUCUCUGCCAGUGGCGGAUGGAACUGGUAGACACGUCCCCCGGAUUCCUCGCCUGCAAGUGGGAUGGUGCCAGGAAAGUUCUACACCAUCCUUCCCAGGUCCCAGGAGGACAAGCACAGUUGUCCACAAGUGUGGAUCAGUGUUAAAAGUGCUUCAUGGAGAAAUGGAGGCCUGAAAGCGACUCUGAAGGAGGAGUGGGGCUCAGCAAACAGCAGACGAGUUUCAAUCCAAGCACCCAUUACCCCCCUAACACACGGCAUACGUGCAUCUCAUCUCCUCCUGUGUCGCUAAGAAGCUACCCAUAUGUCUGUCAUUAAUUCUCCAGAAUCCUUGGACACACCCCUCUGCAGAGCUUUCUAACAGGAAAUACAAGUCUCAGAUUUUUUUUUAAGUUAAAAUUGAGUGCAGCACUCAUACCUUUCUUCGAGCAUGAACCGUCAAUCAACACUGCCUCAUGAGCUACUGCUCUCCUGCUCUUUGAAAAGACAAAUCCUUAUUUCUUUGUAGUGAUCCAGAAGGCAGUGGGAAGAAUGACAGGUGCUUGGUUAUCUUCAAUUUAAUCUCUACCUUUCAAUGGGGCUAGUGCAAGCUAGGGCCAUUUUACUGCACCCAAAGGAAUUUAAGACAUUUCUAUUAUCUCUAAAGAAUCCAGAUUAACAUGCCUUCUUGGUGGGCAGGGAGACCAGCUAUGAAUUCUAGGAUCUCAAUUCAAAUGCUUUUGAAUUCUUCCUGCUUGUUCAGUUAAUUACAUAUAUGUCACCACAAUCUUGCUUUUUUUUUUCUAUGCUUCUAAUUUUCUCUGAAACUAUAACAUUAUUUUAGGGGUUAAUAAAUUUGUAAUUGGAAAAAAUGUUUUUACUUCUUUAGGCUCAUCUUUCCUCCCUUCCUUCUUCCCCUCCCCAACAAAACCUUUAUUUUCUCAAGUGUCCAUUCUUUCUGUAGGAAAAACCAUCAUCAUAAUUACAAUAUGUUAAGUGACUACUAUAUGCCAGGAAUUAGCUCAAUUCUUCACUUAUUUUAUUUUACAUAAUCCUUUCCAAAACCCCCUGUCAUAAGUAAUAUUAUUAUUCCUACUAUAUAGCUGAGACUCCUGAGGAUAAGAGAGGUCAAGUAAUUUGUCCACUGCAUUAGGUGGGUAGAGCUAGGACUUUAAUCCAGAACACCAAUGACUGUUCUCUUCUUCACCAUUACACUACUUUUUUCAAAUUUCUAGAGACCUUCAUGAAUUCUUUGCAUUUUGUUUUUUGGUAGUAUAAAUAUUGAUAUUCCCAAAGGCCAAGUAACUGCUCUUAAUAAACAAUUGCAGCCAAGCGUGGUAGCUCAUGCCUGUAAUCCCAGUACUUUGGGAGGCUGAGGCGGGUGGAUCACAAGGUCAGGAGUUCGAGACCAGCCUGGCCAAUAUGGUGAAAGCCCGUCUCUACCAAAAAAUACAAAAAUUAGCCAGGUGUGGUGGUGCACACCUGUAGUCCCAGGUACUCGGAAGGCUGAGGCAGGAGAAUUGCUGGAACCUGGGAGGCGGAGGUUGCAAUGAGCCAAGAGGAUGCCACUGCUGUCCAGCCUGGGCGACAGAGUGAGACUCCGUCUCAAAUUAAUUAAUUAAUUAAUUAAUUAAUUAAAAAAUAAAAAUAAACAAUGACUUCCAUGGAAGCAGUUAUAAGCUGCCUUGAAGCAACUGCCCACAGUGGUUUUCUGACCUAGGUGAACUUGAAAAUGGAAUGAUCAGCUAUUGGCUGCACGGUUUUGUUCUUUUCAGAAACAAGGGAAAGGACAAUGUGACUUUGCAAAUAUUUAGGGUACUACAACUUAAUAUUCUUAGCAUAGCAGAACAGUGCUGGGAAUCCCUGGGUCUUCUACUGAAAUCCCCCUAAAAAUUCCUUAAAAUAUUUUCCCUCAAAAAAAAUAAAACUCAGCUCUGAAAGUUUACAUGUGUUGACUGCCCCAGACAACAGGAAGUGAAACGACUUAGUUGGAAGGAGGCAGGGUCAGGGUGGAGGUGCUGCUGAGUGUGGGAAGUCUGGAGUGCGGAGAAGGCGCCCAGAGAGACUUCCUGGUGAGCUCUUCAGAGGAAGGAGCAAGUGCAAAGGCGAUUGCAGAAGCCAAGGGAUCAUCUUUUCCUCAACAUGCACAGCCAGAAGAAGAAUCUCAGAAGCUGCAUGUGCUCUAAAGAAGAACUGCUGCUCUCUGGGUCUCUUGGGCUCCACACUGCUUCCUAAGUUUCUGAACUUCUGGAACUUUUCCUUCUCAGUGAAUAACUCAAAGCCUUAAUUCUAAUGCAGCAGGUUUAAAGCACUUGCAUGUGAUUUGAUAGGAAAGUCUGGGGUGGAUAGUGGUCAUGAACAACAAUAUCCCAAAGUAUUUGUUAUUUCUGCCUGGCAAUUAUAAAGGAUGAAAGUAGCAUGGUCAUGGCAGAAAUAGAUGGUGGGUUAAGGUUAGAUCAAGUUAGAUCUCAGGUGUUGGCAGUUUCCUAAGCCUUUGAGGUUCCCAUAGCUAACAUCUUCAGAACCAAAGGGGCAAUCUUCUACUGGUUACUGACUAAGAAGAGAAAGCGGAAUCUCUUAGAGGGUAUUUGGUAAUGUAGGGUUAACCAUGGUGUCACGGUUAUCGCAAUGAUUGGGGAGUGUUGCAAACAUCUAGUGAAGAGGGCAGGGAUAUUAAAUGUCCCACAGUGAUGGAACACUUCUGUGCUGUGAAGAACCACUCCAUCUCAAACGUCAGCAGCACCCCUGGGCAGGUCCCUGCCCUCAGUGGUGCUUGACUCUGGACUAGGUCCAGAGAUGUGCACAGCCAAUCUGAGCUUUAUUUUCAGGAGACUUUGCUGAAAAAGGACUGAUGACGUCACCAGCAUCAUCCUCAACAAGUGUCUGUGACAGCCUGUGACGUGGAAGGCAGGGUGCUGCCUAAUGAAAGGCCGCGAAAUGCUUUGAGAAUCAAAUAGACUCUAAUACAACUCCCAGUCUGUUACAAUAUCCAGGAUGCUUGCACUUAACUUAGAAAUGUAAUGUAUCCUCUUGCCUCUUUUUUCUCUCUUAUUCUAUGUAAACAAGGGUUUGCUCUAUGAAGCCAGAAAAAACAAAAUUCUUACAUACAAGUUUCCAUUAGCAGUUCUAUAUCAGUAUCUAUCUUCUCAUACGAUAUGCUUUCAAGACUACAGACUUCUCAAAAUAAUCAAAAGACUGUAGUGUACACUAAAGGUUGACAAGGCUCUGAUCUAAAAUAAUAUUUUGGUCUUGUCAUUUGGAGGGCGUUUUGUGAUGUUUUGACCCUAAAUUUCACAUAUACUAAAGUACACAGAAAAAAUAUUUAAUUCUUAGACAUUCUGAAAUUAUUUUAAAAACUCAAACUAUUUAUUAUGGUCAAACAUGCCAACGGUAACUUGCCCUAAACACAU
rnacentral:lncRNA from 1 species